rnacentral:rRNA from 1 species
AGCCGCGGUAAUACUUAGGGUGCAAGCGUUGCCCUGAUUUAUUGGGCGUAAAGGGCGCGUAGGCGGCUGUGCACGUCCGCUGUGAAAUCGCCCGGCUCAACUGGGCGGGGUCAGCGGAUACGGCACAGCUGGAGCAAGCUAGGGGGCAAUGGAAUUCCCGGUGUAGUGGUGGAAUGCGUAGAUAUCGGGAGGAACACCAGUGGCGAAGGCGGUUGCCUGGAGCUUUGCUGACGCUGAGGCGCGAAAGCGUGGGGAGCGAUC